rnacentral:tRNA from 1 species
GAGGGUAUUGCUCAGUGACAGAGUGCAUGCUUAGCAUGCACAGGAUCCUGGGUUCAAUCCCCAGUACCAGCA